GGACAAGUGGCCUAAUGGUUAGUGCAUUGGACUCGGAAUCGAGCAGACCAGGUUCGAGCGCUGGCCUGGGUCA